GCUGGGGACCACUUAGGCACCCCAUCCCUAUUUUCUCCAAAUCAAACCUAACUUAGUUGCCCCAUCUGCACCCAGCCCCCACCCCAACUUUACUAGUGUUUGUUUCGUAACAACAGCUUUUGUCUAGCUAAUGUGCCGUCUAGCUCACUCCCCUUCUUGCCACCCCGGGCAUUAUUUCAGGAAUCAGAACUCAAAUAGUUUUGAGUUGAUAUAUACAUAUACAUACAUACAUACAUACAUACAUACAUACAUACAUACAUACAUACAUACAUUCACAAUAUUCUCCCCCUCCCCCUUUGGCUGUUGUGGUUUCUGAACUGAAGAACUCCAGAUUCCCUGACUGUCACUAACAGAGGGACCUGUGCCCCUCUCCAGGAACAAUGUCGCUUCUACAGCAACAAAUCCAAACCCAUUCAAAAUCAGACCUGAAGACUUGAGGACCUAGCUCAAAACAUUCAAUACCUGAUUUCCUUUGCAAGACUGGCUCUUGGCUCCUCCCAUCCUGGCUCCUCCCAUUAUCCUGGCUCCUCCCCAAUAAUCCCUUUCCUCCUCAUUAUGUCCAUUUUUCGUUUACCCUAUCUCUUGAACGGUUUAUAUAAAUUCCUCUUGGACUGAUUCACAGCCCUCACUUGGUCCAGCAGACAGGAUGAAGUAAAAGCAACGCUUCUCUCAGAAUCAUUCCAGCCCCCAAACUGCCAAAUGAUGUAUUUUCUUCCAGCCAGCCCCAUGAGUGUCUGUAAUAAAAUCCCCACCAAAACCAGAGUCAUAAAACAGGCCCCAAGGCAUCAAGAACCAGGCUUCCCAUAGAAUUCUGGGAAGCAGCCAAACCCAGCACAUGCCCUGGAGCCUAGAAGCAAGGUUACUUUAUAAUAAUUUGCUCUGCAGGUAAUUAUCCCAGCCCUGUUGAAAGUGGGGACUCAUUCCCAGGAGAAGGUAUGAAUAUAUCCAUGGAGUUCCGCUCAUGUGACCUCUACACCACCCGGUAUUCUAUCAGUACUGAAUAACCCACACUAACAGACUGUGGAAUCAAACAUCAACAGAAACGUUGGCGGGAACAGACCAUUUUCAAAACAUGGCAGUUAGUCAUGAAAAAUCCAUGCUUCAGUUUGCUACAUAAAAGCUCUGGGUGUGAGGACCAUGGCAGGCUGAUGCCUGCCCGCCCGCCCGCCCGCCCGCCCGCCCGCCCGCCUGCCUGCCUGCCUGCCUGCACUUACACAUUCAUACGUUUUGAAAUGUGCAACAAUUCCAGUGCACAGUCAUCACACGGUCUGCUAUUCCAUUCUGAAGACACACUGCGAUUUGAAAAGGGACCCUUGAAAAUCAACGUUUAUGACGACGUCAUGAGCAGUAAGCAAAUGUAAAGCAACUAGAAUGCCUGUCAGUGGAUGAGUAGAUAAAUAAAAUAUGGCCAGUCUAUAGAGUAAGACACUUUAUAAAGCAGACAUAUGUAAGGAAAAUAUUAUAAGUUAAAGAUUUGUUACAACAUGGAUACAUCUUAAAAACAUACUGAGUGAAGGGAGACAAAGUAAAAGGUCACAUGACUUUUGAGUCUACUUACUUUUGAUCACAUGACUUUUGAUUAUCCUUACAAGGAAUAUACAGAAGAGCUUUAUUCAUCGAGACAUGAAACUGAUAACGGUUGCUUGUAGGUAGAGCAAGAAGGACACGUGGGAUGAUGAAAAUAUUUUGGAACAGAUAGGCUUGACAGUUACGCAAUAGUGUGAGUGUCUUAAAUGCCACUGGUAUACUUUAAAAUGCUAACUUUAUCUUCUGAAUUUCAUUUCAGUAAGAAUAAACCAAAAUCUAAAUCUAAAUCUAUUGAUCUGGAGAAACAGAGCUAAUUUUAGUACUAGGACCAGAAAGAAUACUCUUCUAGGAAAUAAAAGCAUGAAUGGUAUCUUUGGUUAAAAUAUUGGGUUCCAAACAUUCUAUUCAAAGUUUUUCAAUGAAAGCUGAUGCCAAGUUUGUAUAGGACAGCCAAUCAUAAAUGUCUCCCUCAGUCAGAUUUUCAGAAUCUACGGAGUCCUGUACCUUGAGAUUGUAUUCCCUGUUAAGUAUCUGGGUGCAAUUAAGAUAGAGCUCCAAAUGUUAAAACUCAGCCGGUUUUGAAGCUAGAGUACGGUGCACUGACAAAGAAGGAACAAGCUACGAGUGAGCCACGACUGGCCUGAGGUUGGGGAGGUUCUUCUGAGGAACCUGGGUCCUGGCUGUUCAAACACCAAAACCAAGGGGAAUUACAACCCCACAUAGUUCCCUAGGAUAAGUCAUGCCCUCAGCAUCCUGAACAAGGGGUUUUGUUGUUGUUUGUUUUGUAGACCAAAUGACAUCAUGUCUUCAAAACUUCUUGUAAAAUAAAAAUUUGCAUAUUGGUAUGAUUGCCACAGUUUAUUGAUGUGCAGCAGUAACUAUCAUUUACACACUGUACUUGGAUGUUAUUUUCACAUACUAUUAUAUAUUAGCCAUCAUUCUCAUGAAAAUUCUUGAAUAUUAGUUAUUUGCCAUGUAGGGAAGGGAAUAUUGUUAACACUUUAAAAGAAUAAAUUGAGCUUCUGAGGGCCUAAGAUUCACUUAUGGGUACGUAACUUUGAGACUCGAGACCUUUAGUUCCUAGUUCAUUCAAAACCCAAAGUAUUGAAAGGCCCAAUAUCUGUGGUUACUAAGGCCUUUUUGGUCUUUGUUAAUUCCUAAUGUGAUUAACAUCUUGGGCAAAGUCUGAAUAAUUCUACUUCUGUUUGUGUAGCAGUAUUUUGACUGUUAUAACAUGGAACUCCCAGGAACCAUAAACUAAAACAUAGACUAAAACAUAUAACGUCCGACUUUGUAUUACUAACACUUACUGAAUGUACACUGGGCAUCAGAUCAGACAUGGCAUUGAGUAUCACAUAGACAUUUAAUCCCUAAGACAGUCAUCUGUGCAAAUUCUGCCUAUACAGAAAGGAAGGCUCAGAAACACUAAUUUACCAAAAUUCCAGAUGGAAAUAUAAGUUGGCAUUUAAAAGUUCAUGGCAGUUGAGGUUGAUACUGUAUUACUACUUUACACAGUGCUGAAACAAAAUGUCUGACCAUAGGAAGUUAAGGAAAGAAAGAAGGAUUAAUUUUGGCUUAUAUUUUGAGGCCAAAGUUCAUGGCAGUCAAGGAAUGAAGCAGGAACCUGACGUGGCUGAUCUUGUGCAGCCACGGUCAGGGAGCAGAAAGGCUGAGUGAUUUGUUCUUGGUUCACUUUCUGCUUUGUAUUCAGUCUAGUAUCCCAGGCCAUUGGGUGGUCCCACCCUAAGUUAAGGUGUGUCUUCUCACUUUCCUUAGACACACCUUGAUAACCCAGACAGACUUGUCUAGAUGCUUGUUUCCUAGGUGAUGCUUCUACCCAGUCAAGUUGACCAUCAAAGACCCCUGGGAUUCCUACCUAAUGAACCAACAGGGUGGGGAACAAAUGUUAAAUUAAGAUGAAAAGUACAGAAAGCACAGGGAUGAAAUUCAGUUUGGUUAACAUCAAAGGUCCUGGUUGAACUCCUUUGUUAUACUGAGACAUGGGUCCAAAGUUUAUGGUCAUUUGAGUCUCUACUCCAAAACUUAGGGUAAUAAAUUUGGGUCAUCCUAAUCACUAUGGUAGAUUCAGGAACAUUUGUGACAUUGAAGUCUCAAGAAAAAGGGAAGCCGUCUUCCAUAUGGAAGGUUUUGAAGACAAGGCAAGAUUUGCUAGAAAUUAAGAAUUGAGGUUACUAAGUAUUUUUUCUGCUACAGGAUGCUGGGUGAUGAAAAGCUAUAAUUUAGGCUUUUGACUAACCUCUUCUGCAUAGAUGUUUUGUGCUAUAGGGUAAAGCAACACUACAAAAGCUACUGUAAUGUUUCGUACAAUGUGCUAGGAUUGCCUAAUAGCUUCUAGGGCUUAAGUACUCAAUAAUACUAUGUCACAAUUUAAAUAAAGGGGAAGCACUCCUCAUCAAAACCGGCGAGUUUCUCCUCUCUAGGAUUCAUCUUGUGUUUUGUGAACAAGAGGGUAGGAUUUCCAGUUAUUAUGAUUUUUUUUCGGGGCUGGGGGGAAGUUUAUUGACCUCACCAGGCAUUUCCCCCAUGCCCCUAAAUUUAAUUUCAUCCUAUUGGUUUGCAGUUCACUACCUCGUUCAACAAAUGUUUGCUGUGUUUCUAGUGUUGAGAAUAAUAAAUGCAAAGUUCCUCUGUACAGGAAGUUUACAGCCAAAGGGGUCAUAAAAUAUUUCAAAAUAUAUAAAAAUUUAUUAAUAUUGUUUGGAUAGGCGUUAGGCGAGUAUUUGCAUGGUGAACUCGUCUUUCUUCUGUCAAAACAAAUUAUAUGAUGGCUCUCUCGUUUCUCCAGAUGAUGACAUGUGACAUAUGAUGACACAUGACGAUAUAUGAAGUCAUCAUACUUAAGGGGAAAAAAAGACAGAAAGUUAAUUACAUACACCCGAAAGAGUAGCUAUGACUUUUGAAAACUGUACUGUGAACGAUCUAUUCCAUUUCUCCCAAAAGGAGAGCAGCCUCUGAAAAGGCGCCGAGGGAAAGUCACUUAAUUUAAAAUAAAAUAAAAAAAGUCAGCCGGAAAGGCAAAAUGAAACUCGAACCAGACAGCAAACUUGCCGAUCUAGGGUCGCUCUCGGGGUCUCUAUACCGAUCCGAGCCAGGAAAGUGUCGUCAUGAACUUGAGGGUAGAGUUCCUUUCCACUCCUUCAGCGCGGUGGCAGAACCCCGGGUGGAGGUCAAGGUGUGGCGGCGAGCGGGCGGCGCUCCGAGGCGCGCGGCGGUGACAAGCGGGCCAGCGGCGGCCGCCCGGGCGAGCGCGGUCACGCCGCCCCGCGCCGCUCAGGUGGCGCCUUCCCGCUCAGGUGAGCUCCUCCCGCGCCUCCCAUUGGCCGAGGCGCCCGUGGCGCUGGAAGGGCGACGCAGCCCGGUCUAGUUCAGGGUCUAGGGCGGCGCGUCACUUCCGGUAGCGCGGAGCUUGUAAAACACCCUGGAGAGAAAAUGGCGGCGGCGGCGGCUACGGCGGCUUCGGCGCCUCAGCAGCUCUCAGAUGAGGAGCUUUUCUCUCAGCUCCGCCGUUACGGCUUGUCUCCGGGUCCCGUGACAGAGAGCACUCGGCCGGUCUACCUCAAGAAGCUGAAGAAGCUUCGCGAGGAAGAGCAGCAGCAGCAGCAGCACCGGGCGGGGGGCCGCGGCAACAAGACGCGGAACAGUAAUAACAAUAACACGGCGGCCGCGGCGAGUGUAGCCGCGGCACCGGCGGGGAUGGGGGUCCGGCCGGGCUCGGGGGACUUCGCGUACUUACGGACUCCCGCGGGCCUCGGCCGCCUGUCGGCCUCCGCUCCGGAGAGCCCCGCGGGAGGCUCCGGGGUCGCGGCGGCCGUCCCCGCGGCGGGCAGCAAAGUGCUGCUGGGCUUUAGCUCCGACGAGUCGGACGUGGAGGCCAGUCCGCGGGAGCAGGCGGGCGGCGGCGGAGCGCGGAGGGACCGGGCUGCUCUCCAGUACCGCGGGCUCAAAGCGCCACCGGCGCCCCCGGUCGCGGGUGAGGCGACGAGCGGCAACUCGGCCGAGCGGAGGAAGCCCCACUCGUGGUGGGGGGCGCGGAGGCCGGUGGGCCCCGAGCCGCAGCUCCCGUCGGGGAGCGACGGGGCCGCGGAGGACGUGGACGAGGAGGUAGCGGACGGUGAGGACAGGGACCCGGAGGCGGAGGAGCCGCUGUGGGGCAGCCGAGCCGUGAACGGCAGCCGGCUUCUCCCCUACAGCUGCCGGGAGCAUUACUCGGACUCGGAGGAGGAGGACGACGGCGGCGACGUGGCCUCGGCUAGACAGGUAUUAAAGGACGACUCCCUUUCCCGGCAUCGACCCAGACGGAGCCAUAGUAAGCCGUUCUCCGCGCUGACUGCUAAAUCUGGCGGCAGCCGGCAGGAGACUUCAGUUCAGGGAGGGGGAGGACUCGCGAUGAAUGACAGGGCGGCGGCUGCGGGGAGUCUAGACAGGAGCCGAAACCUCGAGGAGGCGGCGGCCGAGCCGGGAGGCGGAGGAGGAGGAGGAGGGUGCGAUCAAGUGGACUCCAUUCCUCGAUACCGUGCUGGCGCGAAGAAGCUGGCACCGCUCCUGUCGCCGCCGAGUCCCGACGUGGACUCAACCUUGGAGUCGCCCACAGGGCCCCUCAAAACCAAUAAUCACAUAGGCGGCGGCGGGGCCUUCGGCGUGGAUUCCCCCAGUCUGUAUGCCAACAGCAUCCCUCCCGGAGCGGCCGCGACCGCCCCUGGUUCACUCAGGAUCAACCACGCCAACCAUACGGGCUCCAAUCAUACCUACCUGAAAAACGCCUACAGCAAGCCAAAGCUCUGCGAGCCCGAAGAGGAACUUCUCCAGCAGUUUAAACGUGAGGAGGUGUCUCCGACGGGGAGUUUCAGUGCUCACUACCUGUCGAUGUUCCUCCUAACUGCAGCCUGCUUAUUUUUCCUAAUAUUGGGACUGACUUACCUAGGAAUGAGAGGGACAGGAGUACCCGAGGACGGAAGACUCUUAAAAAACCCCUUUGAUGAAACAUUUGGAAAAAUACAAGCAAGUGAAAAAAAUCUUAUGAUGAGCACAUUAUACAAACUUCAUGAUCGAUUGGCUCAGAUUGCAGGAGAUCAUGAAUGUGGCCGUUCCAGCCAAAGGAUGCUUUCUGUCCAAGAAGCAGCUGCAUAUUUAAAAGAUUUAGGUCCUGAGUAUGAAGAUGUAUUUAACACUUCACUGCUGUGGAUUUUUAAAAAUGGGAAAGAUGUUGGAAUAAGGUGUGUUGGUUAUGGACCUGAGGAAGACCUGACAAACAUAACCGAUGUGCAGUUUUUACAGUCCACCAGACCACAGAUGCCGUUCUGGUGCCGUUUCCGCCGUGCUUUCAUUACCGUGACCCAUAGGUUACUGCUGUUGUGCUUAGGUGUAGUCCUGGUCUGUGCUGUCCUCCGUUAUAUGAGAUACCGCUGGACGAAGGAGGAAGAAGAGACAAGGCAGAUGUAUGACAUGGUGGUGAAGAUCAUAGAUGUUUUACGAAGUCAUAAUGAAGCCUGUCAGGAAACUAAGGACUUACAGCCUUACAUGCCUAUUCCACAUGUUCGAGAUUCCCUAAUACAGCCCCAGGACAGGAAAAAGAUGAAGAAAGUGUGGGAAAGAGCUGUUGACUUCCUUGCUGCUAAUGAGUCUAGAGUGCGAACAGAGACUCGAAGAGUGGGUGGUGCAGACUUCGUAGUCUGGCGGUGGGUCCAGCCUUCUGCAUCUUGUGACAAGACGUCAGUCAUACCCUCUAAAGUAUGGCAAGGUCAAGCAUUUCAUUUAGAUAGAAGAAAUUCACCACCAAAUAGUUUGACGCCAUGUUUAAAGAUUCGGAAUAUGUUUGACCCAGUUAUGGAAAUAGGAGAUCACUGGCAUCUGGCAAUUCAAGAAGCAAUUUUAGAGAAGUGCAGCGAUAACGACGGCAUUGUUCAUAUCGCGGUAGACAGGAACUCCCGUGAGGGCUGCGUGUAUGUUAAGUGUCUGUCUCCGGGACAUGCUGGGAAGGCUUUUAAAGCCCUGCACGGCUCCUGGUUCGAUGAGUUGGUUAUGUGAGCCCCCACCUGUUGUUCCCACCACCGACUGUCGACUGCCACUGCUCAGCCAUCAUGGACCUUCUGGAAAUAAUGCCAGCGCCUCCAUAGCUACGCAUUGUAGCAGCUGCUGAGUGAGGAGAUGCUGUACAGCAGGAAGCUGUCGUGAACGUCUGGAAGUCAACUUCGAAGAUAAAAGCUCGCUGAGUACGCGUGUGGAAAUAAUGACCUACAAAAUUUGCAGACUGCACUUGCUUUUCGGCUUUGCAGUUUUGGGUAUGUGGUAAUAACGGCUGUGAACGGAGGUGUGCAGCUCUCUCCUGCCUCGGCUGGGCCGCACUGCUUUGCUGCAAUCCUCCCUGACUUCUGACUCCUGCGGCCCUGUUUCCUCUUUGGUGAUGACCCUGGAGCCAUGGGAGGAGGGCCUGCUAACUGGAUGUUUCUUUUGGCUCUCUUUUUCAGGCCUCUGAAAUACGAAUGGACUCUUCUUACUCGUGAGGCACUAAUUAGUGUGUCUCAUGUUGGGAUAUAGUGUGAACUGGACACACAGGCCUCUUUCUCAGGUUUUCCCUCUUGGUUUGAAACUGCCACGACCUGUUGCAGAAAAAGCAAGGCCGUCCUGUGAUAGGAGCAGGAGAGAGCAGUUAGAGUGAGGAUCAAAGGAGGGCAAUCGUCUGCCCAUCAUCUAACUACUGCAGAUGUGCACACACGUGGUAGGUAUGUGGUGAUCAGAAGACAGCUUUUGGUAGUUGGUUCUUUCCUUCCACCAUUAUGGGUCUGGAGAUAGAACUCAAGUUGUCAGGCUUGGGGGCUAACACUUCUGAGGAUCUCCCUGGCCACUUACCUACCGAGUGCUUAGAGGAUUAUGAGAGUCGAGAUGUGCUGAACAUGGCCAUACUGAGGGGAUGUUAGGUAGGCAGUGAGGAGGCCCGAACUUCAUUUCUAAGUGGGCGUUCUGGCUGCUGUCUGGGGAAUAGAUUGUGGACACCGAGAACAGCAGUAGGUACAGCAUUUAGGGCCAUGUCCCUGGUUCAUAGAGGGACUGAUGCCGGUUAGAAUUGGGGGAGGAGGUCUCAGAAGUGAAAUCUUGCUGGUACUAUUUCCUUGGAGUGAGCUGCUCUGGUGGAACUAAUGGUGUUCCCGCCAAUUCCAGUGGAUUCUGUUGGAUCCUUCUCUUCCCAACUAGGUUGUUUGGUGUAGUCACUCCAUCCUAGAACCAGCCUUUGUCUUGGUUUCUGGCUUAAUUAAUUAAAACGAUAUCUCAGUUCUUUCACUUGAAAAAUGGAGGCGCUAUUGCAUCUAUUGCUCAUGGACUGUUUUAAUCAUGAAGUGAAAGACCUUUUGAG